rnacentral:tRNA from 1 species
AAACUGGGUAAAGCGUUAGCCUUUUAAGCUAAAAACUGGUGAUUCCCAAACACCCUUGGUGUAUGCCUCAAUUA